GGGCCUAUAGCUCAGUUGGUUAGAGCAGGGGACUCAUAAUCCCUUGGUCGUCAGUUCGAGUCUGACUGGGCCCA
rnacentral:tRNA from 1 species